rnacentral:pre_miRNA from 1 species
AUCCCCUGGGGAUCUUGUUAAAAUGUAAAUUUUGAUUCAGUAAAUCUGAGAUGAGGCCCAAGAUUCUGCAUUUUUAACAAGUUCCCAGGCAAUGCCAA